rnacentral:rRNA from 1 species
CACUAGGGCUUUCAUAAUCCAAAUGCAUCAGAUCUCAUUUGAUCUUGGAAGUUAAGCAGGGCCAGUGCUGAUUAGCAUUUGGAUGGGACACCGCCAAGAAAUAUCAGGUUCUGUAGGCU